UGGGGAAUAUUGCACAAUGGGCGAAAGCCUGAUCCAGCCAUGCCGCGUGUGUGAAGAAGGUCUUCGGAUUGUAAAGCACUUUAAGUUGGGAGGAAGGGCAGUAAGUUAAUACCUUGCUGCUUUGACGUUACCGACAGAAUAAGCACCGGCUAACUCUGUGCCAGCAGCCGCGGUAAUACAGAGGGUGCAAGCGUUAAUCGGAAUUACUGGGCGUAAAGCGCGCGUAGGUGGUUUGUUAAGUUGGAUGUGAAAGCCCCGGGCUCAACCUGGGAACUGCAUCCAAAACUGGCAAGCUAGAGUACGGUAGAGGGUGGUGGAAUUUCCUGUGUAGCGGUGAAAUGCGUAGAUAUAGGAAGGAACACCAGUGGCGAAGGCGACCACCUGGACUGAUACUGACACUGAGGUGCGAAAGCGUGGGGAGCAAACA
rnacentral:rRNA from 1 species